CAGGCUUAACACAUGCAAGUCGAGGGGCAUCAGGAAGAAAGCUUGCUUUCUUUGCUGGCGACCGGCGCACGGGUGAGUAACACGUAUCCAACCUGCCCUUUACUCGGGGAUAGCCUUUCGAAAGAAAGAUUAAUACCCGAUAGCAUAAUGAUUCCGCAUGGUUUCAUUAUUAAAGGAUUCCGGUAAAGGAUGGGGAUGCGUUCCAUUAGGUUGUUGGUGAGGUAACGGCCCACCAAGCCUUCGAUGGAUAGGGGUUCUGAGAGGAAGGUCCCCCACAUUGGAACUGAGACACGGUCCAAACUCCUACGGGAGGCAGCAGUGAGGAAUAUUGGUCAAUGGGCGCUAGCCUGAACCAGCCAAGUAGCGUGAAGGAUGAAGGCUCUAUGGGUCGUAAACUUCUUUUAUAUAAGAAUAAAGUGCAGUAUGUAUACUGUUUUGUAUGUAUUAUAUGAAUAAGGAUCGGCUAACUCCGUGCCAGCAGCCGCGGUAAUACGGAGGAUCCGAGCGUUAUCCGGAUUUAUUGGGUUUAAAGGGAGCGUAGGUGGACUGGUAAGUCAGUUGUGAAAGUUUGCGGCUCAACCGUAAAAUUGCAGUUGAUACUGUCAGUCUUGAGUACAGUAGAGGUGGGCGGAAUUCGUGGUGUAGCGGUGAAAUGCUUAGAUAUCACGAAGAACUCCGAUUGCGAAGGCAGCUCACUGGACUGCAACUGACACUGAUGCUCGAAAGUGUGGGUAUCAAACAGGAUUAGAUACCCUGGUAGUCCACACAGUAAACGAUGAAUACUCGCUGUUUGCGAUAUACAGUAAGCGGCCAAGCGAAAGCAUUAAGUAUUCCACCUGGGGAGUACGCCGGCAACGGUGAAACUCAAAGGAAUUGACGGGGGCCCGCACAAGCGGAGGAACAUGUGGUUUAAUUCGAUGAUACGCGAGGAACCUUACCCGGGCUUAAAUUGCAGUGGAAUGAUGUGGAAACAUGUCAGUGAGCAAUCACCGCUGUGAAGGUGCUGCAUGGUUGUCGUCAGCUCGUGCCGUGAGGUGUCGGCUUAAGUGCCAUAACGAGCGCAACCCUUAUCUUUAGUUACUAACAGGUUAUGCUGAGGACUCUAGAGAGACUGCCGUCGUAAGAUGUGAGGAAGGUGGGGAUGACGUCAAAUCAGCACGGCCCUUACGUCCGGGGCUACACACGUGUUACAAUGGGGGGUACAGAAGGCAGCUAGCGGGUGACCGUAUGCUAAUCCCAAAAUCCUCUCUCAGUUCGGAUCGAAGUCUGCAACCCGACUUCGUGAAGCUGGAUUCGCUAGUAAUCGCGCAUCAGCCACGGCGCGGUGAAUACGUUCCCGGGCCUUGUACACACCGCCCGUCAAGCCAUGGGAGCCGGGGGUACCUGAAGUACGUAACCGCAAGGAUCGUCCUAGGGUAAAACUGGUGACUGG
rnacentral:rRNA from 1 species